AACACAUUUAUUUACAUAAGCACAGCAGUUGUCCAUGAAAAGAAUUCCUGCAUUUUACAUGCAACUAAAUAAGGAAAUCGGCGUUGGCUCUGACCUAAAGCUUCCUCUUAAAAAGAAAAUGAUGCAGAAAUGAGGCCCUCACAAAUUCAUCAACAAAAAAGUAACAAGUGGCUGUGAUACCUUAUGUACAUAAGCUACCACACAACUAAACAAAAGACUGCCUUGUGUUCAAAUGACAGGCUGUCCUUUUGGUGUCAGAUAAGCUUGGCACAAGAUGCAAGAUGACAGAUGUAAAUGCCACUGACAAGCAAGUGCGUAGGAAGAAACAAAAAUUAAUUGAUUGUACUGACUGCCCACCAUUGUCAUGCAGCACAUUUCUGCAGGUCAAAUAUGAGGUGCUGCCUGAACGAGCAGCUGUAGGAGCAGAACAAAUAAAGAAAUCCGCCAGUGGUUGUCCUGUUACUCAUUUUCACCAGUGCUGUUGAACCCUUAUGUUCAAUCAGUG
rnacentral:lncRNA from 1 species